rnacentral:rRNA from 1 species
AUACAGAGGGUGCGAGCGUUAAUCGGAAUUACUGGGCGUAAAGCGCGCGUAGGCGGCUUGGUCAGUCGGAUGUGAAAGCCCCGGGCUCAACCUGGGAAUGGCAUUCGAUACUGCCAGGCUAGAGUAUGGGAGAGGGAAGUGGAAUUUCCGGUGUAGCGGUGAAAUGCAUAGAUAUCGGAAGGAACACCAGUGGCGAAGGCGACUUCCUGGCCCAAUACUGACGCUGAGGUGCGAAAGCGUGGGGAGCGAACAGGAUUAGAAACCCCAUAGUCC